UAGGGAAUCUUCGGCAAUGGACGGAAGUCUGACCGAGCAGCGCCGCGUGAGUGAAGAAGUUUUUCGGAUCGUAAAGCUCUGUUGUAAGAGAAGAACGAGUGUGAGAGUGGAAAGUUCACACUGUGACGGUAUCUUACCAGAAAGGGACGGCUAACUACGUGCCAGCAGCCGCGGUAAUACGUAGGUCCCGAGCGUUGUCCGGAUUUAUUGGGCGUAAAGCGAGCGCAGGCGGUUAGAUAAGUCUGAAGUUAAAGGCUGUGGCUUAACCAUAGUAGGCUUUGGAAACUGUUUAACUUGAGUGCAAGAGGGGAGAGUGGAAUUCCAUGUGUAGCGGUGAAAUGCGUAGAUAUAUGGAGGAACACCGGUGGCGAAAGCGGCUCUCUGGCUUGUAACUGACGCUGAGGCUCGAAAGCGUGGGGAGCAAACAGGAUUAGAUACCCUGGUAGUCCACGCUGUAAACGAUGAGUGCUAGGUGUUAGACCCUUUCCGGGGUUUAGUGCCGUAGCUAACGCAUUAAGCACUCCGCCUGGGGAGUACGACCGCAAGGUUG
rnacentral:rRNA from 1 species